CCUACGGGAGGCUGCAGUAGGGAAUAUUGCUCAAUGGGGGAAACCCUGAAGCAGCAACGCCGCGUGGAGGAUGAAGGUCUUCGGAUUGUAAACUCCUUUUGUUAGAGAAGACAAUGACGGUAUCUAACGAAUUAUCACUGGCCAACUCCGUGCCAGCAGCCGCGGGAAUACGGAGGGCGCAAGCGUUACUCGGAAUCACUGGGCGUAAAGGGCGCGUAGGCGGGAUAGCAAGUCAGAUGUGAAAUCCUUUGGCUUAACCGUAGAACUGCAUUUGAAACUGUUAUUCUAGAGUAUGGGAGAGGUAGGUGGAAUUCUUGGUGUAGCGGUGAAAUCCGUAGAGAUCAGGAGGAAUACUGAUUGCGAAGGCGGCAUGCUAGAACAAAACUGACGCUGAUGCGCGAAAGCGUGGGGAGCAAACAGGAUUAGAUACCCCAGUAGUC
rnacentral:rRNA from 1 species